rnacentral:rRNA from 1 species
AUGGAGGCGAGCUGCGCCGCGCCGUCCACCUGCUCCUCCGCGGCGACCACCUCGACGGGCGGCGGCUCCACUGCUGAAGGGCGCUGCUCCGCUGCCAUCCUCUCCAGCCGUGAUCCCUCCCGCCGCCUAGGGCUGCGUCGCGAUCCCCUCCCGCCGCCCAGGGCUGCGCUGCUAUCCCUCCCGCCGCCCAGGGCCUGCGCCGGCGCCGCACAGGACCUGCGCACGCCUGGGUCUCGAGUGCCUGGACCUGGAGCUCCAGGCGGGCCUGGGACUCAAGCCCCUCCUCAACCUCGAGCUUCUUCUGCUGCUCGUCUGCAAGUUGCUGCUCUUCCCCGACGGGCCUGCUCGUGCUGCCGCCCGGAGCUCCCCUGCUCGUUCUUCUGCCGACAGGAGCACACAACUAUGGAUUUGAAUUUGAUGCCGGAAGAGGAGGACGAAGCUCAAGAAGAAGAACAAGCUCAGCAGGGUGACGCUAUUGAUUUGAACUUGAUGCCGGAAGAGGAGAACGAAGCUCAAGAAGAAGAACAAGCUCAACAAGGUGACACUAUUGAUUUGAACUUGAUGCCGGAAGAUGAAGAUGGAGACAUUGAAUUGAAUUGGUUUCCUGAAGAGGAAGAAGCUCAAGAGGCACAAGAAGAUGCAGAAUUGGAAGAAGCUCAAGAGGCACAAGAAGAUGCAGAAUUGGAAGAAGCUCAAGAUGCACAAGAAGAUGCAGAAGUGAAAGAAGCUGAUGCACAUGGCAAUCAAAGAGGGAAGGACUUGACAGACAAGGAGAGACAUGGUGUUUACUUUGCUCUGCGAGUAAUCGAGCUUAGAGAUGGACAGGUUCACGUGUAUGACAAGCCGGCUAGGGGACCCGUGUUCGGCGACCACAGGACCGCCUACUACGGCGUCCUCGCCGCCAUUCUUGCGGUCGUGGCCGUCGAGAUGGCCGUCGCCCACUGGCUUCCUCGCUCCGGCGCCCAGGAUGAUGAUGACCGCGGCCGCGUCCUCGCGUUCGCCAAUGGCCUGCUGCGCUUUGCCGUGGUGCUCCUUCUUGUCAUGGUGGUGGUGGGCGGUUUCGCGCUCACCAUCAAGCUCUGA